rnacentral:lncRNA from 1 species
UUAGCUCUCAUCUCACCAGCCCAUCAUUAUUGUAUGUGCUGCCUUCUGAAGCUUGCAGCUGGCUACAUCAGUCCAAUGUGAAUAACAAAAUGAAGAAUAUCAGGAUGAUUCGAGACCAGGAAUACUACAGAUGUCCAACACUUCCACCUGGAAUCCCCAAAGAGGCCCGCUUUUAGCCUCCACACUGGUUGGUGACCUGACAUGAGAGAAAUGACAGAAAUCUCAGAAGACUGGCCUCAUGAAUAAUCUUCAGUUUCAAUGUAACAAAGCAAGCCUUCUAGAAAUUACCUGCCUCUGCAGUUCACUCUGCUGCUUCAGAUGAAAAUUUUCAGGUCUGUCUGCCACUGUAGUGAAGCACUGCUUUGGGUAGUGUCUGUGGAGAAACUUUUUAAAGGACAUAGUUGAAAUAUUGUGCUACAAACCAAUUCUUGAACACCACUCAUUUUGUCCUACCUCUCUGUGACCGUGAAAGACGGCUGUGCUCUUGGCAAAGGUCAUCUCUCUGUCAUGAGUCUGGAUCUCCUUUUCUUCUCCUGAUUAUCUGUCACUCAGUUAUCCCCACUCUCUUCCACAACUUUAACUUCAGCUUCUCUAUUCUAAGAGACUCUUCUCGCAGGCUCAAGGCUCUCCUACCCUCCAUCAUUCCUCCCUCUACCCCACACAGCCAGCAUGUGUCC